GGCGCUGUGGCUUAGUUGGUUGAAGUGCUUGCCUCGUAAUUAGGAGAUCCUGGUUUCAAAUCCCAGCAGUGUCU
rnacentral:tRNA from 1 species